rnacentral:rRNA from 1 species
GACGAACCGUCCUAACGUUGUUCGGAAUCACUGGGCUUAAAGGGCGCGUAGGCGGAACUGUUAGUCCGGGGUGAAAUCUUUCGGCUCAACCGGAAAAGGGCCUCGGAAACGGCAGUUCUCGGGGAAGGUAGGGGCAGGCGGAACUUCCGGUGGAGCGGUGAAAUGCGUUGAUAUCGGAAGGAACGCCGGCGGCGAAAGCGGCCUGCUGGACCUUUGCCGACGCUGAGGCGCGAAAGCCAGGGGAGCGAACGGG